rnacentral:rRNA from 1 species
UUUUCCCUACGGGGGGCAGCAGUGGGGAAUAUUGCACAAUGGGGGAAACCCUGAUGCAGCGACGCCGCGUGAGGGAAGAAGGUUUUCGGAUUGUAAACCUCUGUCUUUGGUGACGAAAGAUGACGGUAGCCAAAGAGGAAGCUACGGCUAACUACGUGCCAGCAGCCGCGGGAAUACGUAGGUGGCAAGCGUUGUCCGGAAUUACUGGGUGUAAAGGGAGCGUAGGCGGGAAGGCAAGUUGAAUGUUUAAACUAUCGGCUCAACCGAUAAUCGCGUUCAAAACUGUUUUUCUUGAGUGAAGUAGA